UGAAAACGUUUUAAAAUAGAGACGUUCUUGAAUUUCGUUUAAAUGGAAAAGGAUUGCCAACUGUCAGACAAAAAUAACAGUUGGAAGGAGAUUAUUCUUUUUCAUUUUAGCGAAAAAAUUUUUAAAAGGAGGAAGAACAAGA
rnacentral:ncRNA from 21 species